UACGGGGGGAGCAAGCGUUGUUCGGAUUUACUGGGCGUAAAGGGCGCGUAGGCGGCGCGACAAGUCACUUGUGAAAACUCUGGGCUCAACCCAGAGCCUGCAUCCGAAACUGGAGUGCUAGAGUUCUGGAGGGGGUAGCGGAAUUCCUGGUGUAGCGGUGAAAUGCGUAGAUAUCAGGAGGAACACCGGUGGCGAAGGCGGAUCUCUGGGCCUGUCCUGACGCUCAGGCGCGAAAGCUAGGGAAGCAAACAGG
rnacentral:rRNA from 1 species